AUUGAACGCUGGCGGCAGGCCUAACACAUGCAAGUCGAACGAGUGGCGGACGGGUGAGUAAUGUCUGGGAAACUGCCCGAUGGAGGGGGAUAACUACUGGAAACGGUAGCUAAUACCGCAUACCAUCGGAUGUGCCCAGAUGGGAUUAGCUAGGAGGGGGGGUAACGGCGCACCGAGGCGACGAUCCCUAGCUGGUCUGAGAGGAUGACCAGACACACUGGAACUGAGACACGGUACAGAGUCCUACGGGAGGCAGCAGUGGGGAAUAUUGCACAAUGGGCGCAAGCCUGAUGCAGCCAUUCCGAGUGUGUGAAGAAGGCCUUCGGGUUGUAAAGUACUUUCAGCGAGGAGGCGUUACUCGCAGAAGAAGCACCGGCUAACUCCGUGCCAGCAGCCGCGGUAAUAC
rnacentral:rRNA from 1 species